UAAAUUUCUCAUGGAUGUACAUGAAUGACAAAAAAUGCGACCUACUGUGACAAACACGUAUCAUCACGGAAGUGUAUUUUUUUGUAGUGUAGCAAUGCUAUAAGAGGGGUUGAGCGAAGCGGUAACAUCGCCAAACAACGCUUUGCUAGGUAGGGUAAAAAGGUUAGAGGUUAUCAAGGCAAUUUGGGAGGCUUGAUAAACAAGUGGUAGGUAGCGCGACACAGCGAUAGCAUCGAGACAACUAGCAUAGCAAAGAUAAUAGUGAGAUCCAAGGUAACAGUCAUCUUGCCUGAAAUCUCGCUAGGAAGAAGACCGAGCCCAUGAAGUAGACGGACCAACGUAGUUGAACGGAUCCUCACAAACGCAACGUAACCAGAAUUAUCAAGGAGAAGCGCAACCAAAAAGAAGCAAACAUCAUAUUAAACAACAUGGUAAACAAACAAGCAUAAACAUGGCAUGAUGCACAACCAAGUAUGAUGCAUGUCCGCUUUAAUAAGGCAUGGCAUGGCAAAGUGCAACAAAAAAUACUACAAAUUAAGUGGAGCUCAAUAUACAACGAGUUGCAUAUUGAUGCAACACCACAUUCAAUUAUUUAUUUUACUCUCGUUUAGGUACUCAUCAAUAUUAAAUGUUGGUUAAAAAAGAAAGAGGUGAAGCAUAAGUAAACUAACUAUUUAGGCCAGUUUAAAUGAGGCCGAAAAUAAUAAACAACAAAUCCGGAAAAUCCCCAUGUGCAUAUUUUGGAUAUGAUAUUGUUCUUCCCUAAACAGAAUUUUAGAGUUAUUAAAUAUGCAAAGUAAUGCCACCAUGUUAAACUAUGCAUUUUUCUACCCCAUAUACAUAUAAAGAUUAUUAAAUUCAGAGCUAUGGUUAUUUAGUUCUGAAAUAAACCAUUUUAACAUGUGAUUUAUGCAAACUUAAUCAAACAGCAAGUUAAACAUGUUAAACAUGGAUGAGAGCAGCAUAUUAUGAAACUAGAUCAAAUUAUAAGCAUUUUAGAUAUUUAGUUUGUUCAAUUAGGAUGCAUGGUUGUGAAGUUAUUAUAUGCAUGAAGUAUGAGAGGUUUUCUGGAAUUCUGGCAUUCUCUUGAAAAUAGACAAAUUCGCAUCCCAGGAAAAAAACAUUAUGGGUCGAAACAGUGAGUGCAUUAUAACUGAACAACGCUCAUGAGCGAGGGUCUGGGUCUAUGCUCACAUUGGGCCAUCGGGCCAGAAGAGGAGAAGUAGAGGCAGGCCGGGGCAAGCAGAGGCCCACCAGUGGGCGAGGCAGGGAGGUCGCGGUCAACGCGAAUACGCGAGCGAUGCAGAGAAACUUGACGCGUUCAUCUCCUCCUGGCACGAGGGAGAAGUCGCAGCAGCGGUGAUGGUACAGCUUGGAUGCGGGGAACAACGGGGAUGGCUGGAGACACAGAUCUGGCGGCCCACCGUGAAGGCGAAAUAGAGGAGGGCUGGCACGUGCGAUGAUGCAACAGGGCACGGUCAAUGCUCACGGGCGCUGGAUUGGGGCGGGUCGACACGGACGAACCUGCCUCGCUCGAUGCAGAGGAACAGGCGGCAUAAGCCGGUCUUGGCGAGAUGGCGGGAUCAACUCCGGGUGCUCAGGCGAGGGCUGAUGAAUGAGGUGGAGGACGGGGUACAGCGGCGAGGCGACAGGAACUUGGUAGCUCGAUGAACAUGAACUUGACGCGCGCGAGCAGGACAGCAGCAGUGCUCGAUGUGAACGAAGAAGACGGGCGGCGUCUCUGCAGAAUCGGUCGGGAUGGGCGUGAAGAUGACAAUAGCGAUGCGGUCAUCGAGCAGGGGAGGCCAUGGCAUGGUGCUUGCCUCCUGCAGUUUUCUGGAGAGGACAGUGAGCAAGUGAGAGAGGGAAACAGAAGGAACGGGAGAAGGAGAAGCAACAAGGGGUGCAGGUCUAGCAGCGAGAUGACAACCCAGCGAGACCCAAGGCGAGGCAGGGGUUGGUGGCCAUGGGGUUUCUUGCCAGAGAAACAAGAGGGAGAUGUGUGAGAGAGAGAAGCACGGGGAGGAUGGGAGAUACAGGGGAGGAGAGGAGCGGGACGAGGCCGGUCCUAGUCGCCGGUGAUGGAGCAUCGGUGGCCGGCCGGUGCUCAGGCUGUUAGGGCCUCGGGCGCUCGCAGCUGUAGGAGGUGGACGAGGGGAUCAGGGGAGGCGUUGGUUGGUGGGGAGAGAUCGAGAGGUGGAGAGCUACGGGUUGGGUGGACCACGAGAAGAUCCCGAGGAAGAAGGGAUUUGGCAGCGAUGGGACAAUCUCCCAACAACAAGGAAGAGCGGGUGGCGGCGGCUUCGGGAUUGGGGAGGAAUGGAUGGGAUAGCCUAGGGUUAGGGGUUGAUCUGUUUUGGUAGGUGGUGGUCUUAUAUAUAGCAAGUGUAUUUUUGAUAGGGGCAUUUGGUCCCUCCGAUUUUAAUCGGAUGGUCCUGGAUAAAUAAGCUAGGGCAUCCAAACAAAGAGCCGAAGAUAUUUUAUGAAUGUUUGGGGAUGAUUCGGACCAUCGGUUAUGACCGUGCGGCUUGGGAGAGGGAGAGGUUUUCAGACAUUGCACGAGGGGGUCUGAGAAUUGUGCAGAGAGGGGGUCUGACAAAAGGCCACAGAGGCAAGGGGUGUUUGAUGGACUCAGAGAAGAGAUAGAAGAGAGCGGUCCGAGAGAAGGUGAUGAAGGCAAAGAGAGAAACAACAAGGACGACGGAUUCAGUUUUUGUAAAAUGUCGGCAACGAAGUGCCGAUGCAAUGCAAAUGAUGACAUGACGAAUGCAACAAACAAAUGAAACAUGCGACAGCAAUGAAAAACAAGGAAGGCAUCUAGAGCAUCGGUCUCGGUCGUUACAACUCUCCUCCACUUACAAGAGAUCUCGCCCCGAGAUCUAAGGAUGGCACCAGAGAGAAACGAAAGAGGAAGAGGUAAAACAAAGUUUCUUCUUUGACAAACGAGUGAAACCAAUGAACCUUGAGAGGUUGAAAACUUGAAAGAAGAACACAACAGAGUUGAACGAAAUUGAGAGCACUCCGGUAGAAAAGAGAAACAAGGAACACCAUGUGAACCUUGGAGGUUGCAAAGCUAUGAAUGACGAGCAUAAUGGACAAGAAGGAAUUGAAACCACUCUGGUUGAAACGAAAUAAAUAGGGAACAAGGAAGAACAAAUUCGAACAUCACUCCGGUUGAAAAGAGAUGCAGGACUUGAUAAGAUGAAAAGAACUUGAGCAGAAGAUACAACACUCCGGUUAAAUGGAUAAGCAAGAAAAGAACAUGAUAUUUACAAAAUGGGAUGAUGGGUCGAAGAGAGUAACAUCACAAUGCCUCCGGAACAAAUAAAAGAAUGGAACCAAAAGAACGGAAAAGAAAACAACAUGUUCUACCUGAAAUGAAUUUAAGAGAGCAUCCUUAAAAAUAAGGAUUGAAAGGAGUUGUUGAAAAAAAUCAACAACAAAAGAAUAAUCUUGUGUGGGCUUAUGGAAAACAUCUCGAAAUUAUGAGGUGACAACCAGCCACUAAAGGAAAAUAAUUUAUUGGUUGAGAUCACGAAAAGUUGUAAAACUUCUUUCACCGAGAGGAUAGGAGAAAACUUGGAUCAUUGAUAGACACCACAAUUAGCAACAUUCCUUAGGGAAGGCUUUAAGUGAAAUCUAUACCAAGAUAACUCCAAUGAAGAGAUUGAUGGGUUGCAAAGGAUCUCCUGAACGAAAAGAAAAUGAUGGGUUUAAAUAUCUCAUUCUUAACAACUUGUGAACCUUGAAGCACGAAUGGAAAUUGUCAAGAAUGACAUAACACCACCUCAAAGGGUAAGGUAGAAACAAUUGCACUUCGGGAUGCACGAUCAAGAAUGUUUGAACUCCUCCAACAAGAAUCUUGAAGAACACUUUGAGAAUGAAUUAAAUCCUUCAUGAACCACCAUGUAGAGCCUCCAUGAAGAACUCCGGUAAUAAGAGGAUGAUAGAAAGGAAUAGAAGUUGAAAACACAAGGUGAAGCCUUGCAAUGAUUUAGAUGGAGCUUCGUGACUAGAUAACCGAGAAAACUUGGAACUCCUGAAGAGAAAGAUGAACAACUUGAAACUGAGAAUUUCCUCAUCAUGGAUAAACUCCGAAGGAAGGGAUUAAUCACUUGGGUGAAAGAAGAAUAAGAAUUAUAUUAUGUGUAUCCUUCAUCAACUUAAAUUGAUGGCAAACAAUGGAUUUUGCAUACUACUUAUUCUCGUUGAAAGGAUUAAGAGAGAUAUAGCGCAAACUUGAGGAAGGUCUUCAACAAUCCACCGGUAGGCUUUAGGAAAGAACGAAUGAAUUGAUAUGAUUCGGAGAGAAGAGGAAUCUUGAAUGGACCACCGUAAGAAUUUGAAAACGAACAAAUAAAAUAGAAUGAGACACCAGGAAAAAAUUAACAAACAAAUGAAGAUACUUGAGGGAAUUAAAAUACGAGAGAACAUAGAGAACAUGAACUGAUUAGAGGAUAUUUGAACGAUGCACCGGCCGGUAGAAUUGUGGAAUGAGAGUGAAUGUCGAUAAUGAAUAAAUCUUCUGAAAUGAUGGCCUUUCGAUGAUCAAGAAAUGAAAACAACUCAUGAAAUGCUUCGGAUGGGUAUGAUAAUAAUUGUCACUAUCGAAAAUGAUUUGAGAGGAUGGUAAUAAGCUUGAACCACGAAUCUUCAAGAGAACGGAUAUAAUUUGGAGGACACUCUUCUUCGGUCUUCAACAUUGUGAAUGUCGAUGAGGAACACCACCCAAUUGUUGAGAGACUCCGGAACAAUGAAGAAUAGAGAGUGAGGGAGUCCUGGAUUAGGGGGUCUCCGGACAGCCGGACUAUAUCCAUUGGCCGAACUGUUAGACUAUGAAGAUACAAGAUUGAAGACUUCGUCUCGUGUCCGGAUGGGACUCUACUUGGCGUGGAAGGAAAGAUAGGCAAUACGGAUAUUUGUAUCUCCUCCUUUGUAACUGACCUUGUGUAACCCUGACCUCUCCAGUGUCUAUAUAAACCAGAGGAUUUUAGUCCGUAGGACGACAGACAAUCAUACCAUAGGCUAGCUUCUAGGGUUUAGCCUUUCUGAUCUCGUGGUAGAACUACUCUUGUACGACCCAUAUCAUCAAUAUUAAUCAAGCAGGACGUAGGGUUUUACCUCCAUCAAGAGGGCCCGAACCUGGGUAAAACAUCGUGUCCCCUGCCUCCUGUUACCAUCCUCAUUAGACGCACAGCUCAGGACCCCCUACCCGAGAUCCGCCGGUUUUGACACCGACAUUGGUGCUUUCAUUGAGAGUUCCUCUGUGUCGUCGCCGUUAGGCUUGAUGGCUCCUACUAUCAUCGAUGGCGAUGCAGUCCAAGGUGAGACUUUUCUCCCCGGAUAGAUCUUCGUGUUCGGAGGCUUUGCACUGCGGGCCAAUUCGCUUGGCCAUCUGGAGUAGAUUGAAAGUUACGCCCCUGGCCACCAGGUUAGGUUUGGAAGCUUAAACUACACGGCCGACAUCCGUUGAGACUUGAUCUUCGACGGAUUCGAGCCUCUGCCUUAUGCGUCAUGCGGUCACGAUGAGCACUAUUUAGCUCUACCAUCGGACAUUGUUCGGGAGAUCACACAGGCAGCCGCUCUGACCCUCAUUUCGGAGCCAGUUGCGCCGUUCAUGUACGGGUGGAUGGACCCCGCCACGGAGGCCUUACCCUCACCAGCAAUCGAACCAAACAUCGACCUUACCUUGCACGAGAGCCGUGUUGUUAAACUGCCAGAUCCUUCUCCGGCCACGGACUCCGAACAGCCUGCGCCCGUUCCUAUCGAAUCCGAUUGGGCGCCGAUCAUGGAGUUUACCUCCACGGAUAUUUUUCAGCACUUGCCCUUUGGCAACAUAAUGAACUCAUUAAGGUCUCUCUCCUUGUCAGGAGGAUCCUGGCCGAACUAUGUCCGGCAGGACUGGGAUGCAGACGGCGAAGAAAUUGGCGGCCCACCCACCACCCACUUAGUAGCCACUGUCGAUGACUUAACCGACAUGCUCGACUUUGACUCCGAAGACAUCGACGGUAUGGACGACGAUGCGGGAGACGAAGAGGAACCACUGCCCACAGGGCACUGGACAGCCACCUCAUCAUACGAUAUAUACAUGGUGGAUACACCCAAAGAAGGCAAUGGCGACGAGAUAGCGGAGAAUGACCCCUCCAAGAAGCAACCCAAGUGCCAACGUCAGCGGGGCUGCUCUAAGUCCUGCCAAAGCAAAAGUGGUGAUACCGGCACAGGAGGUAAUAACACUCCGGAUAGUGUCGAAGACAACAACAGCCCCCUCCAGCAAGAUUUAGAGCAGGAGGACGGAGGAGCUAGCCCUCCUGAGAGAGCGGCAGACGGAGAGGCAGAGGAUGAUAAUUACAUGCCCCCCUCCGAAGACGAGGCAAGCCUCGGCGACGACGAAUUCGCCAUGCCAGAGGAUCCCGUCGAACAAGAGCGCUUCAAGCGCCGGCUUAUGGCCACGGCAAAUAGCCUUAAGAAAAAGCAGCAGCAGCUUCAAGCUAAUCAAGAUCUGCUAGCUGACAGAUGGACUGAAGUCCUCGCGGCGGAGGAAUAUAAACUCGAGCGCCCCUCCAAGAGUUACCCAAAAUGCAGGCCGCUACCUCGACUGGAGGAAGAAGCGUAUGAUGCGUCUGAUCGGCCACCUCGUGGCCGUGAUAGAGAGGCAUUCUUGCCAAAAGCUCAGCCCGCACCCCGACUCCAUUCAAAUAAAAAAGCAUGGGGAAACACGCAAGACCUGUGAGACGUAUUGGAGGACAAAGAAAAACAUGCAAGAUCGAUCUAUGGAUCAUGAGGGUGCGCCACUAUGCGAGACGAUAAAUGUCACGCCGGAUACAGUAAAAGUAAAUCCGGCCGGGCCGAACACAGCGGGCAAGACCCAUUUGAGCUGCGUCGGGAUAUAGCCCAAUAAAGAGGCACCGCACACCCCUUACGCUUCACAGACGAAGUAAUGGAUCAUCAAAUCCCAGAAGGUUUCAAACCUGUAAAUAUUGAAUCAUACGACAGCACAACAGAUCCUGCGGUAUGGAUCGAGGAUAUCCUCCUCCACAUCCACAUGGCCCGCGGUGAUGACUUACACGCCAUCAAAUACCUCCCACUAAAGCUCAAAUGACCAGCGUGGCAUUGGCUUAAUAGCUUGCCAGCAGAGUCCAUUAGCUGUUGGGAAGAUCUGGAGGCUGCAUUCCUCGACAACUUUCAGGGAACUUAUGUGCGACCACCAGAUGCUGAUGACUUGAGCCACAUAAUUCAGCAGCUAGAAGAAUCAGCCAGGCAAUUUUGGACUCGGUUCCUAAGAAAGACAAAUCAAAUCGUCGAUUGUCCGGAUGCAGAGGCCCUAGGGGCUUUCAAACAUAACAUCCAUGACGAGUGGCUAGCCCGGCACCUUGGUCAGGAAAAGCCGAAAUCUAUGGCAGCCCUCACGACACUCAUGACCCGCUUUUGUGCAGGAGAAGACAGCUGGCUGGCUCGCAGUAACAAUAUGUCAAAGAACCAUGGUACCUCGGAUACCAAGGACGGCAAUAGCAGGUCCCGUCACAACAAACAUAAGCGCCGCAUUAACAUCGAUAAAUACUGAGGAUACGGCAGUCAAUGCCGGAUUCAAAGGCUCUAAACCCGGUCAGCGAAAAAAGCCAUUUAAACAAAGUACGACGGGCCCGUCCAGUUUGGACCGCAUACUCGAUCGCUCGUGUCAAAUACACGGAACCCUAGACAAGCCAGCCAAUCACACCAACAGGGAUUGUUGGGUGUUCAAGUAGGUCGGCAAGUUAAUUGCCGAAAACAAGGAUAAGGGGUCACAUAGUGAUGACGAGGAGGAGCCCCGGCAGCCACACACCGGAGGACAGAAAAGGUUUCCCCCACAAGUGCGGACGGUGAGCAUGAUAUAAGCAACCCACAUCCCCAAGAGGGAGCGGAAGCGUGCCCUCAGGGACGUAUAUGCGUUGGAGCCAGUCGCCCCAAAGUUCAACCCAUGGUCCUCCUAUCCGAUCACUUUCGAUCGCAGGGACCACCCCACUAGUAUCCGUCAUGGCGGAUUCGCCGCACUGGUUCUAGACCCAAUCAUUGACGGAUUUCACCUCACUCGAGUCCUCAUGGAUGGCGGCAGCAGCCUGAACCUGCUUUAUCAGGACAUAGUGCGCAAAAUGGGUAUCGACCCCUCAAGGAUCAAACCCACAAAAAAGACUUUCAAGGCGUUAUUCCAGGCGUAGAGGCCCAUUACAUAGGCUCAAUUACACUGGAAGUGGUCUUCGGAUCCACGAAUAACUUCCGAAGCAAAGAGUUGAUCUGCGGUAUAGUCCCGUUCCGCAGUGGUUAUCACGCACUGCUCGGGCGAACCGCAUUUGCGAGAUUCAAUGCGGUACCGCAUUAUGCAUACCUCAAGCUCAAGAUGCCAGGACCUCGUGGGGUUAUUACAGUCAUUGGAAACAUAGAGCGCUCUCUCCGAACGGAGGAGCACACUACGGCCCUCGCAGCAGAAGCGCAAAGCAGCCUCUCAAGGCAAUCCACCAGUUCGGCGUUUCAAAACCCGGACACCUUCAAGCGCGCUUGAAGGAAUCGGCAACUAGACUGCCUAGCGCGAUCUGAGCUCGCGUAGCAAUGCGGCCCCCACCCCAGUCCUAGCCAAGCGGCAAAACUCGUGCCACGCGUACAUAAUUAUGCAUUAAAAAUACCAUGGGCACACGCAGGGAGGGGGGCACAACUGCGGCACGCCCCAAGACGCGGCUUAAACCGCACUAGGGGCUUCCCGCUUGGUUGUUUUUCUCUUUUUCAGGACAUCAAUCUCUGGAAACCCUGUCCGGCAGCACUAUUGCCGAACACAUGAUGCAGCAACCAAGGAGGCAGAAAGCUACGUCACACCACGGAAUUCCCAGGUGGAUUACAGUAACGAGCGAAAUAUUUGAUUUAAUACUAUUCCUCAGCUCGCCCUUGGAAGGAACAUAGUCCUACACUUUGCUUAUCGCACUAUCUGUAUCAUUCUGUUUUAACGCACCUUUUUUAUAAACAAUGCAUAACAUUACGACUAUUAUUACAUUCAUGGUUUAUAUAUAUGUGUUCAUUAAUGACGCCUUGCAACCGUACACUUUGGUACGGCCAAUACACCAGGGGCUUACGUACCCCACAAUAUGGUGUGAAAAGCCCGAACACUUUCACAAGUGCGGCACCCCGAACUUAUAGCAUUAUAUGCAUCAGCUCUGAAUCAUGUCUUUGGUCAAAUGUUGGGUUUGCCCGGCUCCUAUGUUUUGGUACCUUACGUUCCGCUCUAUCGGCUAAGGUAGCGCUAGGAGAACUACUGCGAUUGUGCCCCGGUUCUGCUGGGUUAAGCACCUCAGUAGAGAAAGCUAAAACUGACUGUCAUGAUAAGGCGAGAGACUGGUCGCUAUUCGGCGAGGUUUCGAGUCCCUAAAGACUUAUGCCGCUUAGAGCGAAGGGCCGGCCAUGUUCGGCUUAAAGGCGUGUAUCGCGCCCCGAAUUCGGCCUUCCGAAUACCAGGGGCUUCGCCGAAAUUUAAAAGUAUAGAAUUCUAUGGCUAAGUGAGAGUGAUAAAGCAUUAUUAGUCCGGUUGCCUUGUUCAUUGUGCUGAGCACCUCCCUCGAAGGACCCAAAAAUGGGAACAAGAGUGCUCAGGUUUAUCCUGAACACCCCAGCACUCGCGGCAUGGGGGCAGAAGCCAAGGACUAGCCAUCUCUCAGAUUGGAUAAACAACCAAACAGAAGGUAAUAUUUAAAUUCCAACAAGCGUUGCAUAGCACAUAUGAAACAAGUUUUCAUAAAUACAGGAUCACACGAGCAAGUUUUACUCAAAUAUUACAUCUUUUGUGCACUCGUCCGCUAUGAGACGGGCACCUAGCAGAACACCCUCGUAGUACAUCUCGGGGUGGCGAUGCUCCUUGCCUUUCGGCGGCCCUUCCUUGAUCAGCUUCACGGCGUCUAGCUUGACCCAUUGCAAUUUCACACGGGUGAAAGCCCGGCGUGCACCUUCAAUGCAGAUGGAUCGCUUGACGACCUCUAGCCGCGGGCAGGCAUCCACAAGCCGCCUCACCAGGCCGAAGAAGCUAUUCGGAAGGGCGUCGCCAGGCCACAGCCGGACUAUAAAGCCCUUCAUGGCCUGUUUGGUCGCCUUAUGUAGCUCGACCAUCUGCUUCAGCAGGUCGCUCAUUGGCACCGGGUGUUCGGCCUCAGUAUACUGAGACCAGAACAACUUCUCCGUUGAGCUUCCAUCCUCGGCCUGGUAAAAUUGUGCGGCAUCGGACACGCUGCGGGGCAAAUCUGCGAAUGCUCCUGGAGAGCUCCGGAUUCGGGUAAGUAAUCGGUAAUUUACUUUUACAUGCUUGAUUUGCAUAUAGAAUGCCUUACCCGCCGCUAUCUUCUUCAUUGUGUCGAUCUCCUGGAGGGCCUUUUGGGCUUCGGCCUUGGCACUCUUUGCGCUCUCGAGGGCCUCGGCAAGCUCAGACUCCCGCAUCUUCGAGUCAAGCUCCAACGCCUCAUGCUUCGUCACGAGAGCCUGGAGCUCUUGCUGCACCUCGCCCACCCGAGCCUCUUGCUUUUCUCGCUCGGUGCGCUCCUUGGCCGCUUUAUCUUCGGCCUCGGACAGCGCUUGCUUUAGGGUCGCCACUUCGGUCGUGGCCCCUGGCAAAUUCAUGAUGAUCCUGUCAUUUUGCAAUCGCAUUCUGUUUAUACAUAUCCAUAGACUAGGUACCACUUACAUUUGUUCUCGUCGAGCUGCCUCUUGGCAAGGCCGAGCUUGUCCAGGGACCCUUUAAGGUCCUGCUUCAGUACGGCGACCUCCGCAAUCAGUGCGGCAGACGCCAUCAGUGAAGCCUGCAUAUGCAUAUUGACAUACUCAUAUUAGACUCCUGCGAUAUUGUUUGAUCCUCUAUUCGGCUUUUCUUUGUGAACACCGAACAAAGCAUCAGGGGCUACUGUCUAUGUGGUAAUAUUUUUCCUAUAUGUUAGACACUUACCUCAAAGCCAGUUAGAAGGCUGGCACAGGCUUCAGUCAAUCCGCUCUUAGCGGACUGAACUUUCUGGAUCACCGCACUCAUAAUAGUGCGGUGCUCCUCGUUGAUGGAAGCGAUGCGAAGCGCUUCCAGUAAAUUGUCCGGCGCCUCUGGAUGGACAGAGGUCACUAGUGUAGGCGUCUUGCCCCUCUUAGAAGGAGGCCGCCUGCCCGAGUCCGGAACCACUGGAGGUUCCGGCGCGGUGUUCGACUAAGGGUCGAACUCGGAGCCCUCAGGGGCCUUGUCCCCUCUGCUCCCGGAGUCUGGGAGGCCGCUUUGAGGCGCCUCCGAGACCAUCUCCCCUCGACCUGGCGCCUCAUGAGACAACACCUCGGCGUCGUCCGCAGAAUGAGGGGAGGUGGUGGUCGGAACUGGAUCGCUAUCCAUAUCCAACGAGCCCAAGGAGCCAUCCGAUGAUACAUCGAUACGGGCUCGGGGCGGCCUGCAUAAUCAUAUUUCGGCGUUAGGUGAAGUAGUGCAACAAAGGAAUGCUAUGAGUUACUCUGGUAUCCGAACAUUUAUGACUUCCCUAGGGGCUUGGCCUUGGGCAGCCACUCGUCUUCGCCAUCGGCGGCGGUGGUAGAGCUAUCCGGAAGGAGGGUUCUCCCCUUCUUGGACCCUUCAGCCUCCCCAGUUGGGGCGGCCUUCCUUUUCUUGUCUCCCCCGUCUGGAGGGGGAGCAUCUUCUUCUGCCUCCUCGUCUUCGGGGGAGGAUUGCGCCGUAGAGUCCUCGGACAGUGAGUCCGAUGACGCCUGGCCGCCGGGAACUCUUUAGGGUUCCCUUGGCCUUCUUGGUCUUCUCCGGCACCGUAUAAGGAGCCGAGGUCAACAUCUUCGUCAGAAGAGCGUUUUCUGGGCCUUCGGGCAAAGGAGCCGGACAGUCAAUCUGUCCGGCCGUCUCCUGCCAGUCCUGUCAAAGGUACGGGAGUUUAGAUCCCACAUGGAGUAAAGCUAUGAAAAACAAGUAUCCUGUAAGAGGUAAAGCAGCUUACCGCCCUGGCUUGGCGCUUCGCGCUGAAUCCGCGAUCCUCAGUAGUAGGAGGGGGGACCUCGGCGCUCUUGAACAGCACCCUCCAGGCAUCUUCGUGAGUUGUGUCGAAGAGCCUGUUCAGAGUUCAGUGCUGCGCCGGGUCAAACUCCCAUAAGUUGAAGACCCGUUGUUGGCACCGGAGGAUCCGGCGGAUGAGCAUGACCUGGACUACGUUGACGAGUUUGAGCUUCUUGUUGACCAUGUUUUGAAUACGUGUUUGGAGUCCGGUCAGCUCUCUCGAACUACCCCAGGACAGGACCUUCUCUUGCCAGGAGGUGAGCCAUGUGAGGAAGCCAGAUCGAAAUUCGGGGGCCGCUACCCACGUAGGGUCACGCGGCUCGGUGAUGUAGAACCACCCCGACUGCCACCCCUUUAUUGUCUCCACGAAGGAGCCUCCGCACUCCGCACUCCGCCUAGCGGCCGCUCACUACCUUCGUCUUGACAUUGAAAGUCUUCAGCCAUAAGCCGAAGUGGGGCUUGAGGCGGAGGAAGGCCUCGCACACGACGAUAAAUGCCAAGAUGUUGAGGAUGAAGUUCGGGGCCAGAUCGUGGAAAUCCAGUCCGUAGUAGAACAUGAGCCCUCGGACAAAUGGGUGGAGAGGAAAUCCCAGUCCGCGGAGGAAAUGGGUAAGGAACACCACCCUCUCAUGAGGCCUGGGGGUGGGGAUGAGCUGCCCCUCCUCUGGGAGCCGGUGCAUGAUGUCGUCGGGCAAGUACCCGGCUCUCCUCAGCUUCUUGACGUGUCCCUCCAUGACGGAGGAGACCAUCCACCUGCCUCCCGCUCCGGACAUGGUUGGAGAAGAUCGAGGUGGGGAAUGCGAACUUGGGCGCUGGGGCUCGAGUAUGCGAAGGUGGAUGAGCAAAGGAGGAAGAAGGCGUGGAUGAAAAGGUAAGUCCUUAUCCCUUUAUAUGGGCGGACGAAACUAUGCGUCCCCACUAGCCUAGUAAAACUCGCUCGUCCCCCAAGCACCGUAAUCGAUGGUGCGGUUGGGUUACCCACACCCGUAUUAAUGAGAAUCCCGUGAUAAGGGGACACAAUCUCUACUUUGACAAGACGUGUCAAAAAACUGCCUUGUGUUAUGUGCGGGGCUAGUUAAAGGAAAUGGUUCGAAUAAUCACUGGGCCGUGACAUUAUGUCGUGUUGCCAAAACAAGUCAGCAAAUUAGAUUUGUGGAAAUACUAUUCUCUCUACAGUGGUAUGUGGAACUUAUUUUGCAGGGUCGGACACUAUCCUUGAAUUCAGAUUCUUCCGUGGUGUAUUCGGAGGAGGAACCCGCCUUGCAAUGCCGAUGACAAUACUGCACGCCGAACUCAUCGUCAUUGAAAGCCUGGUUCAGGGGCUACUGAGGGUGUCCUGGAUUAGGGGGUCUCUGGACAGCCGGACUAUAUCCAUUGGCCGGACUGUUAGACUAUGAAGAUACAAGAUUGAAGACUUCGUCUCGUGUCCGGAUGGGACUCUACUUGGCGUGGAAGGCAAGCUAGGCAAUAUGGAUAUGUGUAUCUCCUCCUUUGUAACCGACAUUGUGUAACCCUAACCUCUCCAGUGUCUAUAUAAACCGGAGGGUUUUAGUCCGUAGGACGACAGACAAUCAUACCAUAGGCUAGCUUCUAGGGUUUAGCCUUUCUGAUCUCAUGGUAGAUCUACUCUUGUACUACCCAUAUCAUCAAUAUUAAUCAAGCAGGACGUAGGGUUUUACCUCCAUCAAGAGGGCCCGAACCUGGGUAAAACAUCGUGUCCCCUGCCUCCUGUUACCAUCCGCCUUAGACGCACAGUUGGGGACCCCCUACCCGAGAUCCGCCGGUUUUGACACCGACAGAGAGGUUGAGCCAAAAAUGAAUAGAAUUUGAAAGCAAUAUUUGAGAAGGCAUAUGAUUGAUGAAAAUUCAUUCUUACAUCAAACUUUAAAAUGAAUUUGAGAAUAGUUCUGGAUUUUUUUAGAAGAGUCAGGUAAGAUCCUAGGAAAUACCUGUGGGUUAGGGCCCACUCAAAAUAAACACCGUUGAAUUGAUAAGUUGAAAGGGAGAUUGCACCGGUUGAAUUAAAUGGCUUGAAUGAGAUAAUAAUCUCCAAAUAGCUUGAACAGAUUAAGAAUGGAAACAUGAAUCUUCUGAGAUAUCUAUAGCACUCUGGAUAGGAAUAGAGAGAGGUGAAUAAAAAGAGAGACUUGGUUAAGAUAUUGCAACAUGAUAAAACAUGUGAAACAAAAGGAAGGGAUAUGAUUAAGACAGAAGCUUGACUUAAGUCCACCGGAGAAGAAAAGGGAAUGAAAAUAUAUAAACUUGAAGCUCCUGAGCAUCUUCCUAAGAAUCACCAGAUAAGAACAUUGAAAGAAAAGAAUGAAGAGACUUCACAUGAAUAAAAUGGAUACUUGAUUAAGAUAUCUGACUCUGUAAGGAAAAAAGGGCGGGAGGGUGGGAAAAACAAAGACAACUUCGGAUGGAUGGAAUGAACUCCAUUGUUAAAGAUGAGAAUUGAUCUUGAACAUGGUGAAGAAGAUUGAAUUAGCUUGAAGAGAAGCACGUCGGUUGGAAAAGAAUUGGCAUGACCAUUCCACAUGAUCAAAAGGAUUAGUACUCCCAUAGAAAUAUGAGAACACCGCUUAGGAAAAGGUAUGGAAUCAACACUUGACUCCGAAGCAACUCCAAUGCCACUACUCAAAAACAAAACAAAUGAUUCGACUUGCGGAAUAAGCCAGAACAAAAAAAUGAUAGACCCCAUAUCAUAUCAUGUAUCUAUUGGAAAGAAUUCCUACGUGAUACUUGAAUUCCCACCCAAAAACUCUCAAAACUUUCUUGGUAUGCAAUCUGGUGUUGGGGAUACAGGGAGGCACAAAUAUAUCACACAACUAACAAGCCCUACGCUCCAACUAUGUCCAUCCUUCAACACAUAACCAAGAAAACCUCAGAAAUCGUGUACCUCAGACCUUCAAAAACAUCCGAUAUACUAGAUGUGGCAAUACAUCUGAUAGCUCUCCCUAGUACUGGGUGUCGUCAAACUACUCUCACCACGAAUAGUAUAGAAGCGUUUUCGAUGUUGGCGAACUCUGGUAUUCCGGAACUGAAACGAUAAGAACUGUGACAAAAACACCUUGGAGCUCAACUCCCCGGGACACUGCCACAACCCCUAAAUGACAGGAGGCACCAAGACAGAAUUCCCGUCACAAUGAUAUCACAACGAUCCAACAAUACUCGCGUGAUCCUAAAAAAAUUUGAGUGAAAAAGAGGAGAGUAAAGUCAAAACAUCUACGUCAGGUGUCCUCACCAGAGCGUCGAAGGGAUAAGGAGUAAAAAGAAUUCCAACUCUCUGAUAUAACUAGACUCAAAUAGUUUUCUUCUAGACUCAACAAUGGCAUCGGUUCAAUCAAGAAAGGGGGCUCCUAAGGUCGGUAAGGCUCUGAUACCAACUUGUAGCAGCCAAGAUGCGAUUCUAUCCCAAUCAUGUGAUGAAUUCAUGAUUGAGGCACAAUCGCAUUUCGAGCACAUAGCAAGGUGGAUAUCAUUACAACAUACCAUGUACUGAAUAGAUGAGAAUGCAAGAUAAAUACUUACACUCACCACAAGCUACAACAUGAAUACAUCAAUACAUAGCAAUCAUCAUACAUAAGAGCAGGAUCCGACUACAGAUGGAAUCAAACAAAAAAGAAGAACGACAACCACCCUACUAGCCUAGGCUCCCUGACCCAUAACCUUUCCCUUGAUCGAAGUAGAAGAAGCAGAAGAACUCCAAACAAGCAAGCAUUGCUCUCAUGUCAAAGAUUCACUUUACCUGCACCUUCAACUGUUGUUGUAGUAAUUUGUGAGCCAUGAGAACACAACAAUCCCAUUACCAUGGGUAUUAAGACUAGCAAAGCUUAAUGGGCAUGGAAUGUAUAAGUGGUGAGGUUGCAGCAACACUAAGCAUGUAUGGUGGUUAACUUACGAGUACAAGAAUAAGAUGAGAAACUAUGCAACGGUCGCAAACUAGUAAUGAUCAAUAAGUGAUCCUAAACUACUUAUGUUCAAACAUAACCCAACCGUGUUCUCUUCUCGAACGCACCCGAAAAGAGACAGUCACGGUUACGCAUGCGGUUGUUGUAUUUUAAUUGAGUUUAGUUCAAGUCCACUACAACCGGAUAUUAACAAAUUCCCAUCUGCCACAUAACCGCGGGCACGACUCUCGAAAGUUUAAACCCUGCAGGGGUGUCCCAACUUAGCCCAUGACAAGCUCACGAUCUGCGGAGACAAUCCUCCAUCGCGGGACCCUCCGAUCAGACUCGGAAUCCUGGUGCACAAGACAUUUCGACAAUGGUAAAACAAAACCAGCUAGACCACCUGAAUGUGCCGACAAAUCCCGAUAGGAGCCAUGCGUAUCUCGUUCUUAGGGCACACCAGAUGGGACAUCCUACGAGUAAAACCAGACCUCGAGUUUCCCCGUGGUGGCCCCGCAAUCUACUCGGUUUGGACCAACACUCAGAGGAGCACUGGCCCGAGGGGUUGAUUAAUUAUCCUCCGGUGCUAGCCAGUCCAUAUCCAAGUUUUUAGUUGUUAUUAGGCAAAUGGUAAAACCAAUGCUGGGCCUUGCUGGAAGAGUUUUAUUCAAAGCGAACUGUCAAGAGGGCCCCAUAGCCCUCACCAUGUUAGGGACACAAAAACCAAGGAACAUAACACCGGUAUGAUGAAAAACUAGGGCGGCAAGAGUGGAACAAAAUACCAGUCAUAAGGCCGAGCCUUCCACCCUUUACCAAGUAUAUGUGUGCAUUAAUUAAAUAAGAGAUAUUGUGAUGUCCCAUGAUAUCCAUGUCCCAACAUGGAACAACCUGCAAUUGCACCUUCAACUAGCAAUGCUAUAAGAGGGUCUGAGCAAAGCAGUAACAUAGCCAGACAACAGUAUGCUAGGAAGGGUAAAAAGGUUAGAGGCUAUCAAGGCAAUUUGGGAGGCUUGAUAAACAAGUGGUAGGUAGCGCGACA
rnacentral:lncRNA from 1 species